rnacentral:rRNA from 1 species
GACGAACGCUGGCGGCGGGCUUAACACAUGCAAGUCGAACGGAAAGGGCCUGCUGGUGUGGGGUGCUCGAGUGGCGAACGGGUGAGUAACAUGGGAGUAACCUGCCCUGGACGGUGGGAUAACUGCAGGAAACGGGGGCUAAUACAGGAGAGGAGCGCCGGCUGGAUGGAGGGGGAAGGAAAGUUUCGGCGGCUGGGUAUGGACUCGCGGCUGAUCAGCUUGUUGGUGGGGUAGUGGCUUACCAAGGCUUUGACGGGUAGCCGGCCUGAGAGGGUGACCGGCCCCAUUGGGCCUGAGCUACGGCCCAGCCUCCUACGGGAGGCAGAAGUGGGGAAUAUUGCACAAUGGGCGGAAGCCUGAUGCAGCCCCGCCGCGUGCGGUAUGUCGGCCUUCCGUUUGUAAUCCGCUUUCGCCUGUGCCGAAGCGUGGGUGACGGUACUCGGUUAAGAAGCCCCGGCUAACUACGUG